UGGGGAGAGAAUCUUUGUUAUUCGACGAGGAGAAGUCAUCCUUUCGUAUUAGAUUUCCAUGGAGAUUCGAAUUACUCCCUAGAUCAAGAUACGUUGUUCCGUACGAUGACCUCGAGCAACGAUGUUUUUAAAUGUACGAACGAGAGAAUUCACGUUUCACGAACGUUCGAGUCGAGCAACACGAUCGCCACCUGGUAGCUCCGUUUCCAAACAUACGUGCCGCGCAAGUGAAUUAUUACGAAACGAAUCGGUCUCGCUGUUCGUUCCUGUACGAAUUUCGCAGGAAAUAAACAGGCGAAGAGUUGAGACCGAAAGAAGCAGAGAACUACGAUGAAACGACCGCAUGAAACCGAGGAAGCCGUAGCAAUGGAAAAGAACGGAUGGGCUGACAGUAAUACUCCGAUAAUAUAGAUUACUAUGUCAGCUGUGCGACUCGUAAAAAUAUAAAGUUUCGUCGUGCAACGUCUCUCCGGGAUCGACAAAGUCGGUUGUGUCGGGUUUGCGGAGGAUGUUUCUUUGAGAUUUUAAUUGGUUUUCGCGUGCCCGAUGUUGGAACAAAUCGCGAGUUGCUUUUAAAAGUUUGGAAAAUCGUGACGACGUCGGCAAAAAGCAUUGAGAAUACGUAACAUCGCUGAAUUUAUCGAUCGCAUCGUAAUGGAAUCUAUAUUUGUGGAUUCCAAGAAUUUGAUAUAGCUUUAAGAACUAAUUCAACUUACUUCUAAUAUAACGUAGGAUGUGAAAAUAUUUGAACGACAUUCGUAAGUAACUCUAUAUACGUCAGGUAUAUCACAAUAGUAUUCAACUUCAACAACCGCGUUUAUAAAAAUAAUCGUGAAGAUCCUCUCUUAAACUCGUUAUAAAAGUACCAACAGCAUCUU